rnacentral:rRNA from 1 species
CUCUAUGGCCAUGCCACCCUGAACAUGCCCAAUCUCAUCUGAUCUCAGAAGCUAAGCAGGGUCAGGCCCGGUUAGUGGGAGAUCACCUGGGAAGACCAGGUGCUGUAAACA